rnacentral:rRNA from 2 species
GUGCCUAACACAUGCAAGUCGAACGAGAAAGUGGAGCAAUCCAUGAGUACAGUGGCGACCGGGUGAGUAACACGUGACCAAUCUACCCUCGAGUGGGGAAUAACUCCGGGAAACCGGAGCUAAUACCGCAUAACAUCAUCGGAACUCAAGUUCUGGUGAUCAAAGGAGCAAUUCGCUUGAGGAGGAGGUCGCGGCUGAUUAGCUAGUUGGCGGGGUAAUGGCCCACCAAGGCUUAGAUCGGUAUCCGGCCUGAGAGGGCGCACGGACACACUGGAACUGAAACACGGUCCAG